CAAAAAUCAUGUUUUUGUUCUUUUCAGGUCUUCCAAAAACGUUUGCCACCUGAAGCAGUAGAUCUUCUUUGUAGGUUCUUCCAGUAUUCUCCUAAUUUGAGAUGCACAGCGGUGGAAGCUUGUAUCCACCCGUUCUUUGAUGAGCUAAGAAACCCAAACGCUCGUCUGCCAAACGGCCGGCCACUUCCUCCACUUUUCAAUUUUAAACCGCAAGAACUCUCUGGUAUCCCUCCUGAAACUUUGGACCGGCUUGUCCCAGAACAUGCCCGUAAACAGAUCCACUUCAUGGCAUUAGACUCGUAAGUCUCUUCCGCGUUUUCUGUACGACCUAUCGGGUGUUCUCUCCUUUCCUCUAAACUCUCUAGAUCUCAGUCUUUGGGAAAAACCAGUAGAGCUCUCUCUGUAAACAGAAAUUCACUGGAAAAAGAAGCAAUGACUUUCUAUUAAGGUGCUUGCACAUCCUUUCUUGUGUCGAACAGGGCAUGCGUAAAAUGCAACACUACUUUGCUAGAUAAUGUUGAUAUAGAGGAAACAAACUUACAUUCUACAAUACUCUCAAGCCAUAACACAAUUUUUCAAAAAAUUGUGAAACAAAUAAAUUUUUGUUUCAGUUUGGUUUA